UAUGCAGCACUUAGUCUUCCUAG
rnacentral:piRNA from 1 species